UACGUAGGGACCAAGCGUUGUUCGGAUUUACUGGGCGUAAAGGGCGCGUAGGCGGCAAUUCAAGUCAUCUGUGAAAUCUCCGGGCUUAACCCGGAACGGUCAGGUGAUACUGUUUUGCUAGAGUGCGGAAGGGGCAAUCGGAAUUCUCGGUGUAGCGGUGAAAUGCGUAGAUAUCGAGAGGAACACCAGAGGUGAAGACGGGUUGCUGGGCCGACACUGACGCUGAGGCGCGAAAGCCAGGGGAGCGAACGGG
rnacentral:rRNA from 1 species